UUCGCAAUGCCCGAAAGGGUGACGAAGCGACGCCGCGUGGGUGAGGAAGGCCCUCGGGUUGUAAAGCCCUGUCAGGAGUUAAGAAAUGUAGGUACGCUAAUAUCGUAUCUAUUUGACAAAGGCUCCAAAGGAAGCCACGGCUAACUCUGUGCCAGCAGCCGCGGUAAUACAGAGGUGGCAAGCGUUGUUCGGAAUUAUUGGGCGUAAAGAGCACGUAGGUGGAUUUGUAAGUCAGAUGUGAAAGCCUUCUGUUCAACGGAAGAAUUGCAUCUGAAACUACAAACCUUGAGUAUAGGAGGGGAGAAUGGAACUUCUGGUGGAGCGGUGAAAUGCGUAGAUAUCAGAAGGAACGCCGGCGGCGAAAGCGAUUCUCUGGCCUAUUACUGACACUCAGUGUGCGAAAGCUAGGGGAGCAAACGGGAUUAGAUACCCCGGUAGUCCUAGCCGUAAACGAUGGGCACUAAGUAGAGGGGUUUU
rnacentral:rRNA from 1 species